rnacentral:tRNA from 1 species
GGCUUAUCGUUUGCGGAAACCUUGCGCCUUGAAAGUGCAACAAAGACGUUCAACUCGUCUAUAAGCC